rnacentral:lncRNA from 1 species
CAGUUAACUCAAUUACAUAUUUAUCUUACUAAAUGCCUGGUUAUAUAGUAGUUUGUUAUAUUGGUGUCAACUUUAAAGAUUUAAUUGAUAGGUAAAAAAAUGGAAAAAACUUUUGAGACUUAUUUCUGAUAGUCAACUUUUAACAUUAAUCAAAUUUCUGCAAAUCAACAUGGAUUUUGAUAAAACUUUACAGCUAUCUCCAUUGUUAAUUGAUCUUACACAAUUCAAAUAUAAUUUGUAUAUUAAUGAAUCAAAUAUGCAAUGAGUUAGCCCAUAAUGGACAAAAGAUUUUUAACCUCCCUACACUCUGAUGUAUUCAAUUUUAUCAAAUUAUGCCCAUAUGUGUUUUAAAACAAUUUGAUCCACCCUUAAAGAUAUGAGUACAUUAGUACUGUGCAGUAUAUCUGAGGUAGUUAAUGCACACUUUAUCUGUACAUAAAUCAAAUUAUAGCACAGUAAGAACAAAGAAAUUUUGCCUAUAUCAUUUGUAAACUCAAAAUGUAAACUUUUUAUUUAUUUAUUUCCUCUUAGCAUAUAUUUCCAAAUUCUUUUAGUUUUAUUCAAUGGAUAUUUUUCAUUGUUUCCUUGUAACUCGUCAGGGAUGUGAUUUUUAACAGAUUAAAUGUAUAAUAUAUUUAUCCCUGUUGACCUUUUUGGGGUUUAAACCCAAUCAAUAUCAUUUAGUGGGAUCAUUUUAACAAUAAAGCUGGUUUCCAUUGAUUUUUAUGCCUCGUUAAUGAGCAUUUUGUUUUCUGAUCUGUGUGUCCAUCUGUUCGUUUGUUCAUCCGUCCUUCCAUUCGUCUGUCCAUCUGUCCCACUUCAGGUUAAAGUUUUUGGUCGAUGUAGUUUUUUAUGAAGUUGAUGUCAAAUCAACUUGAAACUCAGUUUACAUGUUCCCUAUGAUAUGAUCUUUCUAAUUGUAAUGCCAAAUAAGAGAUUUUCUCCCUUUUCACGGUCCACUAAACAGAGAAAAUGAUAGUGCGGAUAGGGCAUCUGUGUACUGGAGACACAUUCUUCUUUGUUAACAGUUUUUAUUUGAUUAUUCAACCACUUCCUAGUACCUUCAAAAGUUGAAAUGUUUAUAAAAUUAUUAUUAAUAAUCAUAUUCUAAGGAGAAAUUUUAAUUUGACCACAAUUUCUAUCAAAAUCACUUUUAUACUGAAUUUAAUACCCCUAAAUUGAAAAAAAUGAUUAUAUAUGUAUUCCAUCAAACAUCAUUCUGCAAUAAGUAAAUACAAUAAAUCUCAAAUAUUGCACAGAUUUUCAAUAUUUUACUUGCAUAUCUAGUUUGUCGAAAACAUGUUAUCUUUAUUUCCUAUUU